GGUAAAAGGAAAAAGGAACAACCGGUCAAAAUCCCUAACACUCUCUCGUUCUUCUCUUCCACCACGCUGCCCAGCUCGGCCGAUCUUGCGCUGCCUCUGCUUCCACAUCACGCACCCAUGGCGGGCCGCUCCGCCGCCGAGCCCUGCGUCACGCGCCGCCUCCUCGCUCGUCCGGCUAGCCGCCUCCUUCUCACAUCGACCCCCUCCCCUUCUCCACCUUCUCCCCCAGCCCCCCAGUUCUUUCCCUUCUAGUGUUGCCCGGCGGACGUCCCGGCUUCUCCGGCCAAGAUCGCUCGUGAGCCCGCAUCCUUCCGGCUCCAGUAAAUUUGCUCCGAGGCCUCAGAUCCCCAGUAGCUGCUGCAACUGCCCUUCCUUCUCUCCAGCCAAGGUUCCCAGGUGCACCAUCUCUCUCCCGCGAGAAGACUUCUGCAGUUCAGCCUUCAGGUCCAGUGCAUGAGUGCUAAGUGUGCAACUCAGAAUUAAGCAAUGGCUGAUAGAGACUGGAUGUAUAGUGGUUGGAAACGUGGUAAACCAACAGAUGAGUGGUAUGAGAACACAAAGGAAUUUUUAGAUCUUGCCUUUUCUAAUCCAAAUGUAGUGCAAAAUGGGGAGAUUAAGUGCCCGUGCUCAGAUUGUCAAAACUACAAUAGGAAGAACAGAGAUGGUGUGGAGUUAGAUUUGUGUCAUUUUGGUUUCAAGAGAAAUUACACUGUUUGGACAGAACAUGGUGAGAGACGUGUCCAUAUCACAAACCAUGCAUUUGUUGAAGUGGGUGAUAUGGUUAGGAUGGACAACAUGGUCGCUGACUUAUCAGCUAGUGAAGGUGCAAUAAGGAAGUCAGAGAUUCUUGCAGUUGCUAAACACACAACAUUAGGUCAGCAAACUCUGGACUUCCUGAUUUAUUGAGGAGGAACCGGCAACUGGAAAAGAAGUGCAAAAAAAUUGAUAUUGUGACAAAACAUCUCAAAGUAAGAUAUCUCAUUUGUAUACAUACAAUUUUGUUACUUUGCUGUAAGCUGAACCACUAUUUCGACUACAACUCCUAUAUGCUAAAUCUGGACUUCCUGUGCCCGAAGACCUGGAAGAUGACCUUAUGGCCGAUGGUGAUCAUGUAUCUUCCCCAUACCAAGACGACGUUGAUACUCCGCUGACCGGAUCGUCCCAUGCCAAACAUCAUGCUCAUACUACUCCCCAAUCAAGACAACAUGGUGCUACUCCACAACACACUCCUAAUGAUUAAGAUGGCCAAGCAUAAUGACCACUUAUAUUUGAUGUAGCAUGUUGUAGUUGUUCUUUUGUGAACUUGAUUGCUAUCCUCAGUUAGUGUGAUCUUGUCUGAACUUGUAUUUUGUGAACAUUGGUGGAUGUCAAUUGAAGUGUGUGAUCUGUACUAUUAUGUGGUCAGUUUGGAAAUAUAUAUCUGUCUGUCUUUCAAAUUCCGAA